rnacentral:rRNA from 1 species
CAAUAGCGUAUAUUAACGUUGUUGCAGUUAAAAAGCUCGUAGUUGGAUUUCUGGAGGGAGCGUCGGCCCGUAUUUACGAGUGCGUGACGUCUCUGUCCAUCCUUGCGGGAAGGCACGGCAUUGAUUUGUUGUGUCGGAUCGCAUCAUUUACUGUGAAAAAAUUAGAGUGUUCAAAGCAGGCUUUCGCUUGAAUACAUUAGCAUGGAAUAAUAAGAUAGGACUUUGGUGCUAUUUUGUUGGUUGAGCCUAAAGUAAUGAUUAAUAGGGAUAGUUGGGGGCACCUGUAUUGCGUUGUCAGAGGUGAAAUUCUUGGAUAUACGCAAGACAAACAGCUGCGAAAGCGUCUGCCAAGGAUGUUUUCAUUAA